CAGAACCGAAACUGGGAAAGCAGGACAGGGUAGUCCGAUCGACCAUGAAGCGGUCUUCUUCUUCUCCGUCCUCGCUCCCACGCGCCAUGCCAAUCCUUCUGGUGAUCGUGUGCUGCUGCUCCCUGCUGCCAUUCCCAUCCUCUGCCGUUUGCAAAGGGCGUGCAUUUGGCGACUUUGGUCAGAGUGCUGGGGCCGGGACAAAGGGAGGAGAUCAGGGGGGUGGGGUGCCAGCGCCAAGGGGAGGAGAGGACCAAUUUGAUCAUGGGGGUACGGGAUUAGGAGGAGGGAACCAAGUAGGACGGGCGCCUCCGGCGCCGCGGGGUAAGACACCGAGGAACCACAGGUGAUGUGACGACUCCUGCCACGGUGUUCAUCUGGCGGCCCCGGUGGUUAUUGGAAGCUGAUGGCUGCUGGUGUUCCUAGGGGUGGUUUGGGAUGAUGCUUAUCUUUGGCGCAGGUGCUGCCUUUCGGUUGUAAUUUCUGCUGCUGUCUCAAACUCUUUGGAACAUUUGUAUCACAUGCUAGUAGGUUUUUCUUCUUCUCAUAGUUGUUAUUCGAGAGCGAACAUUCACAAUGGGUUUCUUAUUGGUGCUCCAA